UGCCUAUUAUUACUGGAUGCUGUCCAUGC
rnacentral:piRNA from 1 species